GCACAAGCGGUGGAGCAUGUGGUUUAAUUCGACGCAACGCGAAGAACCUUACCAGGGCUUGACAUCCCCUGACCGCGUAUGAAAGUACGUUUUCACCCUCGGGUGACAGGGAGACAGGUGGUGCAUGGUUGUCGUCAGCUCGUGUCGUGAGAUGUUGGGUUAAGUCCCGCAACGAGCGCAACCCCUACGUUUAGUUGCUAACGCGUGAAGGCGAGCACUCUAGACGAACUGCCGUUGACAAAACGGAGGAAGGUGGGGAUGACGUCAAAUCAUCAUGCCCCUUAUGUUCUGGGCUACACACGUGCUACAAUGGCCGGUACAGACGGAGGCGAAGCCGCGAGGCGGAGCAAAUCCGAAAAAGCCGGUCUCAGUUCGGAUUGCAGGCUGCAAUUCGCCUGCAUGAAGUCGGAAUCGCUAGUAAUCGCAGGUCAGCAUACUGCGGUCGAAUACGUUCCCGGGCCUU
rnacentral:rRNA from 1 species